rnacentral:lncRNA from 1 species
GAAAAUUUCAAUGUAGGAAAUAAUUCUAUUGAAUGUGUUAAACAAUACAAAUAUCUUGGCAUAGUCAUCCAAAAUACUGGAAACUUUAAUGAAGCCAGGAAACAAUUAUUCCAAAAAGGUCAAAAGGCCAGUUUUAAACUUUAUAAAGAUUUGAAAUCAUCUAAUCCUCCUAUUAAAACUCUUUUGCAUUUAUUUGAUCACUGUAUACAGCCAAU